rnacentral:rRNA from 1 species
UACGUAGGUGGCAAGCGUUAUCCGGAUUUAUUGGGCGUAAAGGGAACGCAGGCGGUCUUUUAAGUCUGAUGUGAAAGCCUUCGGCUUAACCGGAGUAGUGCAUUGGAAACUGGGAGACUUGAGUGCAGAAGAGGAGAGUGGAACUCCAUGUGUAGCGGUGAAAUGCGUAGAUAUAUGGAAGAACACCAGUGGCGAAAGCGGCUCUCUGGUCUGUAACUGACGCUGAGGUUCGAAAGUGUGGGGAGCAAACAGG